UACGAAGGGGGCUAGCGUUGCUCGGAAUCACUGGGCGUAAAGCGCACGUAGGCGGCUUACUAAGUCAGGGGUGAAAUCCUGGAGCUCAACUCCAGAACUGCCUUUGAUACUGGUGAGCUUGAGUCCGGAAGAGGUGAGUGGAACUGCGAGUGUAGAGGUGAAAUUCGUAGAUAUUCGCAAGAACACCAGUGGCGAAGGCGGCUUACUGGUCCGGUUCUGACGCUGAGGCGCGAAAGCGUGGGGAGCAAACAGG
rnacentral:rRNA from 1 species